GAUGAACGCUGGCGGCGUGCCUAAUACAUGCAAGUCGAGCGAACAGACGAGGAGCUUGCUCCUCUGACGUUAGCGGCGGACGGGUGAGUAACACGUGGAUCACCUACCUAUAAGACUGGGAUAACUUCGGGAAACCGGAGCUAAUACCGGAUAAUAUAUUGAACCGCAUGGUUCAAUAGUGAAAGACGGUUUUGCUGUCACUUAUAGAUGGAUCCGCGCCGCAUUAGCUAGUUGGUAAGGUAACGGCUUACCAAGGCAACGAUGCGUAGCCGACCUGAGAGGGUGAUCAGCCACACUGGAACUGAGACACGGUCCAGACUCCUACGGGAGGCAGCAGUAGGGAAUCUUCCGCAAUGGGCGAAAGCUUGACGGAGCAACGCCGCGUGAGUGAUGAAGGUCUUCGGAUCGUAAAACUCUGUUAUUAGGGAAGAACAAAUGUGUAAGUAACUAUGCACGUCUUGACGGUACCUAAUCAGAAAGCCACGGCUAACUACGUG
rnacentral:rRNA from 1 species